rnacentral:rRNA from 1 species
GAUGAACGCUAGCUACAGGCUUAACACAUGCAAGUCGAGGGGAAACGAUAUUGGAAGCUUGCUUCCGAUAGGCGUCGACCGGCGCACGGGUGAGUAACGCGUAUCCAACCUGCCCACCACUUGGGGAUAACCUUGCGAAAGUAAGACUAAUACCCAAUGACGUCUCUAGAAGACAUCUGAAAGAGAUUAAAGAUUUAUCGGUGAUGGAUGGGGAUGCGUCUGAUUAGCUUGUUGGCGGGGUAACGGCCCACCAAGGCUACGAUCAGUAGGGGUUCUGAGAGGAAGGUCCCACACAUUGGGGCUGAGACACGGUCCAAACUCCUACGGGAGGCAGCAGUGAGGAAUAUUGGUCAAUGGGCGAGAGCCUGAACCAGCCAAGUAGCGUGCAUGAUGACGGCCCUAUGGGUUGUAAACUGCUUUUAUAAGGGAAUAAAGUGAGUCUCGUGAGACUUUUUGCAUGUACCUUAUGAAUAAGGACCGGCUAAUUCCGUGCCAGCAGCCGCCGUAA